rnacentral:rRNA from 1 species
UACGGAGGGUGCGAGCGUUGUCCGGAAUCACUGGGCGUAAAGGGCGCGUAGGCGGCCUGAUAAGUAGGGGGUGAAAUCCUGUGGCUUAACCGCAGGGCUGCCUUCUAAACUGUCGGGCUAGAGCACAGUAGAGGCAGGUGGAAUUCCCGGUGUAGCGGUGGAAUGCGUAGAGAUCGGGAAGAACACCAGUGGCGAAGGCGACGUGCUGGGUUGCACCUGACGCUGAGAUGCGAAAGUGUGGGGAGCAAACGGG